AGAGUUUGAUCCUGGCUCAGAUUGAACGCUGGCGGCGUGCUUAACACAUGCAAGUCGAACGUGAAAGUCCUUCGGGGCGAGUAAAGUGGCGCACGGGUGAGUAACGCGUGGAUAAUCUACCCUUAAGAUGGGGAUAACGGCUGGAAACGGUCGCUAAUACCGAAUACGCUCCCGAUUUUAUCAUUGGGGGGAAAGAUGGCCUCUGCUUGCAAGCUAUCGCUUAAGGAUGAGUCCGCGUCCCAUUAGCUAGUUGGCGGGGUAACGGCCCACCAAGGCAACGAUGGGUAGCCGGUCUGAGAGGAUGACCGGCCACACUGGAACUUGAACACGGUCCAGACUCCUACGGGAGGCAGCAGUGGGGAAUAUUGCGCAAUGGGCGAAAGCCUGACGCAGCGACGCCGCGUGAGGGAUGAAGGUUCUCGGAUCGUAAACCUCUGUCAGGGGGGAAGAAACCCCCUCGUGUGAAUAAUGCGAGGGCUUGACGGUACCCCCAAAGGAAGCACCGGCUAACUCCGUGCCAGCAGCCGCGGUAAUACGGAGGGUGCAAGCGUUAAUCGGAAUCACUGGGCGUAAAGCGCACGUAGGCGGCUUGGUAAGUCAGGGGUGAAAUCCCACAACCCAACUGUGGAACUGCCUUUGAUACUGCCAGGCUUGAGUACCGGAGAGGGUGGCGGAAAUUCC
rnacentral:rRNA from 1 species